rnacentral:misc_RNA from 1 species
AAGUCGUAACAAGGUUUCCGUAGGUGAACCUGCGGAAGGAUCAUUAACGAAGAAGUCGGGCGCUCGUCGCCCGUUCAUCGUCUUCCACCCUGUGCAUCGUGACCCUUUUUUUCGCGCUUACAAAAGUCGAGGAUGAUAAUCAAUUUUAAAAAGGCACAAAAUGAAGCAACGGAUCUCUUGGCUCUC